rnacentral:lncRNA from 1 species
GAAUGUUCGUAAAUGUUCGUGAAAUUAAGCACUUCCGCUUUUAUCGGUUGUCUUCAAACCUCAUUUUAUUUCUUAAAAAGUUCUUUCUUGGAUGUAUUUGCUACAAAAAUGGAAUUGAUUUCAGACACAUAUCUGCUGCAAACACAGACACCCAAUGUUGAUUCCUUAAGAUCGUUUUUAUUGUGAACUAAUCCAGAAAUUUUCUGGACUUCUAGAUUUCCCAAUGUACACCAUGUCUGGACCAGAGAGAAAGAUUUCCUCCAGCAUGGAGGAAUCUUCACUUCUACAGAAAUUCUCUAAGCCCUCGACAAACCAUUCGGAGCCGAUCUCUAUUCUUAAAAGAGAUUCCUCGGACCAUAAGCAACCUGCAUCAGACUUGAAUUCCUCGGCCAGUGCCAUUUCCUGGUUUUUCAAAAGAUCCAUGCCAAUGUCAGAGCGAGAAAUAAAUGCUAUGGCACCUUUAUCAUCUUGAAGGAAAGAUUUCUGUGGCUUAAGAUUUUUUUCGCCAUUGGUUAUAGAUACUUUUUAAAUAUAUUUAUUAAAAAGAAAAAGAACAGUAAAAAACAACACUAAUAAGAGUUGUUAUUGUAUGUAAACAUUAAUUGGAUAAAAUACAUAAAAACAAAAGGAUUUCAAAUUUCAUGGCAUCAGUGUGUUGUAGUUAGCAUUAAUAUAAACAUUUGGUGCUUGUUUGAAAUGAUUGGAAUCUUAAAUAGGAGCCAGUAGCUUUUGAUAACAAAGGUGAGUGUUUUUGUUGAAUAUAACAACACUCACUGCCUUCUUUUAUGUGUACCUCUGCCAGCUUUGUUUGACCAAACUUAUGUUGUGUUUUACCAGUGGUUGUUCAUAUGUGAAAUGGCAAAAAUGAGAAAUCACACAAGAGGAGAUGGACCACAACAACAACAGCAAAGACAAAAUUUCAACAUGUUACACUUACAUAAAUAUCUAUCCUCAUCUAUAAAUUCUAUAUGUAUCAUACAUCUAUCUACAGCUUCACACAAUAUCAGAGACAUGCAUACAUGUUGUACACAUAUCUGGCCCACUAAGGUCAGCUAAGAAUAGGGGAUUAAAUAUGUAUGAACAUGUGUAUUUGUAUGUGUAAAUGUAUAUGGGUGCGAAUGUGUGUGUGUGUGUGUGUAUGUAUGUGCGUAUGUAUGUGGGUAUAUGUGUUACUUAUGCAUUUAUUUUGCCUGUAUGUACUGGAAUAAAAAUCCAGUUGCUUUAUUUUCAGUUGAACUAUAUAACCUUUGGGCCAAAGAAAUCUAAUAAAUUAUAUUCUGUAUUUGCCGU